GAGCUCGUCGCCACCGCGCGAUCUAACACCGACUACGUUUUCUCUACGUUUUAACGGACACGUGUCCUAUAUAUCACCGGAAACAGCCGGUGGUAUAGGGGCUAGCCACUAGUGCAGCCGGUCACUCACUCCCUGCAAUUCCCGCUGGAUAUAUAAUCGGCCUCCUCAAACCCUUUCUCUCUCUCGGUCGCUCCCUUCCUUUCCCUGAUUUCAGUUUCCCAAUUGAGAGAGAAAAAGUGAGGUUUUUGCUUUAUCCAGCUCGCUGUUUCAACUUUCAUGGUUAGUAGUUCUCCUCAUUAUAAUUAAUUUUUUUUUUUAAUGAUUCGAGCUUCUUUUCCUUUUAUUUUGUUCUUUAAAUUUGUUGUCUGUUCCCCUUUUAAGCAUUAAAUUUGGAUCGGUCACUUAGGCCUGAAAACUUAGUGUUUUAAGUUAAUGAUAUCCAUUUAAUGGAAUUUAUUUCCUUGAUUACCUGUUGAUCUUUCAGUCUAAGUUAUUAUUGAAGUGCUAUGUUAAGGUUAAACUGUUAAUUAUUAUGGGUAUUCUAAUUUGGGAAUUUGGCAAUAUCGAUUUCGAUUUGAGCAUGGUCACACUUUGUGAUUUUCAGUGUGUGUGAUUAAGUUGAAGUUAAGCUUGAUUAGUUGUUAAAAGCUCGAGUUGUGUAAUAUCAUCGCUAUUAGGCCUUAUAAUCUACAUAACUUUUGGGUUCACGUCAUAAGUCAGUCUCGUUGUCUCGGGGAACUUAACUGAAAAUUAGGGUUUUUUGGGGAAUAAUUGGGUAAGUAAGCUCUUUUCGUGCUUGAGGUGUCAUAGAUUGAAAGAUUUGGUGUUUCUGUUAUUCUUUCUAGUUUCUUGAUUUUUUUGUGAGGGAAGUUAUUUUAAAAAAUUUUAGUGCGUUAUUUUUGUUCCUAGUAUGUGUAUUUCUGCAGCUAAUGUUGUUAUUUGCUUUGUUUAUUGAACGUUGCUUAGAUCCCUACAACAAAUUGUUGAAAGCUCAAACAGAUCACAAAAUAUUGCACUCCAUUUGGUCCAAACAAGAGUCUCAGUGACACUAUUUGUACAAGGAAUCAGAUUUAGUUUUCUCUUUGGCUGGUGAAGGGGGAAUUGUGAUUCUAUUGUGUGGAAAUUUGUAUUUAUAUACUCUUUUGGGUUUUCUUUUUUUGGCAUGGGUUUCCGUUUUUAUAGGUGUUAAGCGGAUUGAGCAUAUUUAUUAUUAAAAAAAGUUACUGAUCAGGCCUAGCUCUGGAGAGCUACGUAGACUCUGGCCAUCAACGGGUGGUGCGUGCCAUGGCACCUUCUCGUGUGGCUGGAGGUUUAGCCCAGUCUUCCUCAAGUUCAGGAAUUUUCUUCCAGGGGGAUGGGGCUUUAGUUAACUCACACUUGACCUCAUCUUUUGGUAACUCAUCCAAUUCAAUUCCUGGAACUGGGCGACCCAAUCUGGGUCCCGUUUCUGGGGACAUGAAUAAUGCGGUUUUGAACAGCGUGGCAAACUCUGGACCAAGUGUCGGGGCAAGUUCUUUGGUGACAGAUGCAAAUUCAGCAUUUUCAGGAGGUCCCCAUUUGCAGAGAAGUGCUAGCAUCAAUACAGAGUCAUAUAUGCGCUUGCCGGCAUCUCCCAUGUCUUUUUCAUCCAAUAAUAUAAGCAUUUCAGGCUCGUCGGUUGUUGAUGGGUCCUCUGUAGUGCAGCAGGGAAAUCAUCAAGACCCAAGCACGCAGCAAGUCCAGCAGAAUCAGCAGCAGCAACAACAGGGGGCAUCAAGUGCUACAUCCCUGCCUUCUUCACAAGCUGCACAAGCUUCACUUCCCAUUGGCCCACGGGCUCCUGGUGCCUUCCUACAGGACCCUAAUAAUCCAUCCCAAGUGCAAAAGAAGCCAAGAUUGGAUAUCAAACAGGAAGAUAUUCUGCAGCAGCAAGUUUUCCAACAACUGCUUCAGAGACAGGACACCAUGCAGUUGCAGGGCCGAAGUCCACAUUUACAAAACUUGCUUCAUCAGCAGAGACUGAGGCAACAGCAGCAACUUUUCCAAUCUAUGCCACCUUUGCAGAGAGCCCACUUGCAGCAGCAGCAGCAGAUGCAGUUGAGGCAGCAAAUGCAGCAACAAUCCAUACAGCCAGUAUCUGCCAUGAAGCGUCCUCAUGACGGAGGUGUAUGUGCACGUCGAUUGAUGCAAUAUCUGUAUCAUCAACGGCAACGGCCAGCUGAGAAUUCUAUUGCCUAUUGGAAGAAAUUUGUGGCAGAGUAUUAUUCACCUCGUGCAAAGAAAAGAUGGUGCUUGUCA
rnacentral:misc_RNA from 1 species